rnacentral:rRNA from 1 species
UACGGGGGGGGCAAGCGUUGUUCGGAAUUACUGGGCGUAAAGGGCUCGUAGGCGGCCAACUAAGUCGGACGUGAAAUCCCCAGGCUCAACCUGGGAACUGCGUCCGAUACUGGAUGGCUUGAAUCCGGGAGAGGGAUGCAGAAUUCCAGGUGUAGCGGUGAAAUGCGUAGAUAUCUGGAGGAACACCGGUGGCGAAGGCGGCAUCCUGGACCAACAUUGACGCUGAGGAGCGAAAGCCAGGGGAGCAAACGGG